GACGAACGCUGGCGGCGUGCUUAACACAUGCAAGUCGAACGGAAAGGCCCUGCUUGCAGGGUACUCGAGUGGCGAACGGGUGAGUAACACGUGGGUGAUCUGCCCUGCACUUCGGGAUAAGCCUGGGAAACUGGGUCUAAUACCGGAUAGGAGCCAUUUUUAGUGUGAUGGUUGGAAAGUUUUUUCGGUGUAGGAUGAGCUCGCGGCCUAUCAGCUUGUUGGUGGGGUAAUGUCCUACCAAGGCGGCGACGGGUAGCCGGCCUGAGAGGGUGGACGGCCACAUUGGGACUGAGAUACGGCCCAGACUCCUACGGGAGGCAGCAGUGGGGAAUAUUGCACAAUGGGCGCAAGCCUGAUGCAGCGACGCCGCGUGGGGGAUGACGGCCUUCGGGUUGUAAACUCCUUUCGCUAGGGACGAAGCUUUUGUGACGGUACCUAGAUAAGAAGCACCGGCUAACUACGUG
rnacentral:rRNA from 1 species